UCUCUCUGGCAAAAAAGAAGAAGCUCUCUUCGAGUUUCUCCACGACACCUUUCAAAUUUUCUGAAUUAAUAUAGGAUAAGAGAAAAUCGAGGAUGUCCCCGUGUAUGUGCUCUGCUACCCGUCGGAGGAGUUCUUGCUGGUUGCCGGAGCCUUCACCGGCAAGAGUCUUGGCCUCUUCUGCUCUAAGGAAGAUGACGCCCAAGCCCAGCUCCGCAAAGUUUUCACAGUCGACCCUCGUAUGCGUGGCGGCUCCAAAGUUGUUCCCGUUGCGCUCAACAAGGUUUUUCAGCUGAAGGUGAAUGGCAUGGCAUUUAGAUUGAUACCUGAGCAAUCUCAAGUAAAGAAUAACCUGCGAGUGAGGGAGAAAUCUGGCUCUGCUGCCAAUAGCUUUCCUGGUGUUCCUGUUUUCUAGGUUCUCCUCUCAGUUGCCUUAAAUCUGGAUAUCUCAUUUGAGUUUUUGUUUACAGUGUUGUAAGAAAGUUACAACAACAAUUCACUGUAUGGAUUUUAGGCAAAAGUUGAGGAAUAGCGAAGUGCACAUAGAAAAAACAGACAAUAAUUAGAGAUGAGUAGUAGUUGUAUGCGUCUACAAUGAGAAUGGUGGUAAUACUCAUCAAUGUUGGAAGUUUAAAGGACUUAAAAGCUAGUUCUAAAUAUUUAAAUAUGUAAUAAUAGUCAGUUGAUUUAUCUUUUUUGUUUAUGAUUUAUGAAGUUAAAAAAAAAAGGUUGAUGUCAUAUAUAA